UACAGGUAUACCCACUGCCCGCUACAAACACCCAAACCCAGCCGCCCCCGCCUAAACCCUAAUAUCUACCAGUAACCAUCAUAAUCCAAGCAGCAAUUCGCAUACGUAUCAUUUUUAAUUUGUUUGGUUUUAAGGUUGGAGCUUGAUGGCACAAAUGGGAGUUGAAUGAACCCCACAUAAAUCCAGACCAGUGUAAACUUUCAGAAAACUCACCGGAAGAUAUGUACAGUCAAACAAACUUCUUCCGAAUCAGAUGUAGAAGCUGCAAUUUGUUUGGUGUUUGAACUGGAUGUUUAAUUUGUAAGACUUGCUAUUUCACUUUUUUUUAUAGAAAAUUUCGGUUCUUUGAGGAAAAACCGAACCGAACCGUAUUAUUUCGGUUCGGUUCCGGUUCGGUCCAUAACAUAAUUUCGGUUCGGUUCGGUCCGGGAAAAAAUGCUAAUUCGGUUUUCGGUUCUUUCGGUUCGGUCCGGUUCUGGACCGAACCGACCGAAUGCUCAGCCCUACUCGUGACUUCUUUUGUUUAGCUCCAAACUCAGAAAAAGCUAAGUUUCCUAACUUUUUUCCCG
rnacentral:lncRNA from 1 species